CUACGGGGGGCAGCAGUGAGGAAUAUUGGUCAAUGGGCGGGAGCCUGAACCAGCCAAGUCGCGUGAGGGAAGACGGUCCUAUGGAUUGUAAACCUCUUUAGGCGGGGAGCAAUGCCGGGCACGUGUGCCCGGAGGGAGAGUACCCGCAGAAUAAGCAUCGGCUAACUCCGUGCCAGCAGCCGCGGUAAUACGGAGGAUGCGAGCGUUAUCCGGAUUUACUGGGCGUAAAGCGCUCGUAGGCGGUAUGUCAAGUCAAGGGUGAAAUCCCCGCGCUCAACAUGGGAACUGCCUUUGAAACUGGCAAACUGGAGUGUGUGAGAGGAUAGUGGAAUUCCAGGUGUAGGAGUGAAAUCCGUAGAUAUCUGGAGGAACAUCAGUGGCGAAGGCGACUAUCUGGCACAUAACUGACGCUGAGGAGCGAAAGCGUGGGUAGCAAACAGGAUUAGAUACCCCAGUAGUC
rnacentral:rRNA from 1 species